AAUAAAAUUAUGGUAAAAUUAAAAAUAUAUAUUUAUAAUUUAAAUGAACAUAGUGCACUAUGUUAUCAUGAAAUGAAAACUUUAUUCUUACUUACAAUUCUUGAUUGGUCAUCUUAUGUUUUAGCUUCGAUGCUCAGGUUGAAUCGAAAUUAACCUACUUAGAACCAGUGUUGAGAAGGAACUAGUUCCAAAAGGAACGGAUUCCUGGAACGAGUUCUUUUUGAAGGAACGAUGCUAGGAACUGCUUCCUUUUAAAAUAAAGGAACGAGGAAAAUGAACAAAUUCCAUUUUUUAAGGAACGUGAACGGAAAUUACAGUUCCUAAAAUUUUUUAUAAACAUGUUUUAGUGUAGUUUUCUUCGUAUCUAGACAUUAAAAUAUUAUGGUAUUUUUAGUUGACUUUUGACAAUGGAAGUCCCCUAUAUACCCAGCCGAGAUCGUAGGCUGUUUAAAUGAAUCAAUUGAUUAUAGAUAGAGUUAUUAUCACAUGUAGGUAUACAGUAAAUAUUUAAUAUAUGUGUACAUAUAUUAAAUAAUGCACCGAAUAUUAUCGUCGUUUCUUGUUAACUAAUUUAUGUUAAAGUUUUGGGUUUUCUGAUUUAUUAUUUCUAACUUAUAUGUAGACAAUAGACAUUGGUCGCGUUGACACAAGUCGUUAGCAUUUACUACCUGCUUAUAAAUAUAAUUUUCGAAUACUUUUAGAUAAGGAAUACUACAAAUUUGUUUUGUAUUCGACUGCUGAUGAAAAUCAUUGAUGACCGUUAUCAUGAUCUCAUUGCCACAAUUUUUUAAAUAACUUAUAAAAGGAACGAAGAGUGGAACGAGUUCUUAUUUUGGAGGAACUGGAUCUGGAACAAGUUCCUUCUUAAUAUAAAGAAUUAGGAUCUGGAACGAGUUCAUAUUUUAGAAAAUGAACGGGGACCGGAACGAAUUCCAUUUAAAAAGGAACUUUCCCAACACUGCUUAGAACUAAUUACUAAACAUAUAGACUGUAAUCAGAGAAUAAAUUUUACUUUUAAUCACCUGAAAAAUAAAAAAAGUAAAUCAGAAAAAAUUAACCCAUACCACAAAAGGCCUAAAGUUUCAAAAUUCAAAAAUGUAGGAUAAUCGUACAUUUUUCAAAGUUUUUUUAGUUUAGCGCGUGAAAUAAUGGAUUCACAACAAAAUUGACAUUGGAAACAGGACAGCGUGAAUUUUUGGAUGAUACAAUGGAUAAACUGCAUGUAGAUGGUUCAAUGAAGAAUCAUAGCAAAACACAUACUCAAACUACCAAAAAUUUUUUUUUCUUCAAAGACAGUUUAGAAGAGUACCUACUUAAGUAUUAGCCAAAGUGAUAGAAAUAAUUUCCUAAAGAAUAGUUACAAUGAUAGGAUAAGCGAUAGUUUUUUCUGAUUGCAAAACUAAAUUUGAAACACCAACAAUUGCAGAAUCAAUAAAUCCACCUUCAAUUAAAUUUUUUGCCAUCGUCAAACCAAUUGCUCCACUUGACCAUCCACUCACAAGUGUAAAACUUGGC